AUUGAACGCUGGCGGCAUGCCUAACACAUGCAAGUCGAACGAAGGGGCGAACGGGGAGUACUAGAUCGUAACGUACCGAGUAGUGGGGGAUAACCCAUGGAAAGAUGUGCUAAUACCGCAUACUAUCCGAUGUGCCGAUCUGUGAUUAGCUUGUUGGUGGGGUAACGGCCUACCAAGGCGACGAUCAGUAGCUGGUCUGAGAGGACGAUCAGCCACACUGGAACUGAGACACGGCCCAGACUCCUACGGGAGGCAGCAGUGGGGAAUAUUGGACAAUGGGCGCAAGCCUGAUGCAGCCAUGCCGCGUGUAUGAAGAAGGCCUUCGGGUUGUAAAGUACUUUCAGCAGGGAGGCGUUACCCACAGAAGAAGCACCGGCUAACUCCGUGCCAGCAGCCGCGGUAAUAC
rnacentral:rRNA from 1 species